AAACGAUGUCCUGCAGCUGAGGCUGG
rnacentral:sRNA from 1 species